UGAGGAAUAUUGGUCAAUGGACGCAAGUCUGAACCAGCCAAGUAGCGUGCAGGAUGACGGCCCUAUGGGUUGUAAACUGCUUUUAUAUGGGAAUAAAGUGAGGGACGUGUCCCUUAUUGCAUGUACCAUAUGAAUAAGGACCGGCUAAUUCCGUGCCAGCAGCCGCGGUAAUACGGAAGGUCCAGGCGUUAUCCGGAUUUAUUGGGUUUAAAGGGAGCGUAGGCUGUUUGUUAAGCGUGUUGUGAAAUGUAAGAGCUCAACUUUUAGAUUGCAGCGCGAACUGGCAGACUUGAGUGCGCACAACGUAGGCGGAAUUCAUGGUGUAGCGGUGAAAUGCUUAGAUAUCAUGACGAACUCCGAUUGCGAAGGCAGCUUACGGGAGCGCAACUGACGCUAAAGGUCGAAGGUGCGGGUAUCGAACAGG
rnacentral:rRNA from 1 species